rnacentral:rRNA from 1 species
UACAGAGGGUGCGAGCGUUGUUCGGAAUUAUUGGGCGUAAAGCGCUUGUAGGCGGCUUGUUAAGUUCCGUGUGAAAUCCCCAGGCUUAACCUGGGAAGUGCGCGGAAAACUGGCGAGCUUGAGUGCCGGAGAGGGUCGCGGAAUUCCCGGUGUAGAGGUGAAAUUCGUAGAUAUCGGGAGGAACACCAGUGGCGAAGGCGGCGACCUGGACAACUACUGACACUGAGACGCGAAAGCGUGGGUAGCAAACAGG